CCUACGGGAGACAGCAGUGAGGAAUAUUGGUCAAUGGUCGGGAGACUGAACCAGCCAAGCCGCGUGAGGGAUGAAGGUACAGAGUAUCGUAAACCUCUUUUGUCAGGGAACAAAGGCGGGGACGCGUCCCCGGAUGAGUGUACCUGAAGAAAACGCAUCGGCUAACUCCGUGCAAGCAGCCGCGGUAAUCCGGAGGAUGCGAGCGUUAUCCGGUUUUAUUGGGGUUAAGGGGUGCGCAGGCGGUCUGUAAAGUCAGCGGUCAAAGCCCGGGGCUCAACACCGGCCCGCCGUUGAAACUGGGAGUCUCGAGUGGGAGAGAAGUAUGCGGAAUGCGCGGUGUAGCGGUGAAAUGCAUAGAUAUCGCUCAGAACUCCGGUUGCGAAGGCAGCAUGCCGGCUCCACACUGACGCUGAGGCACGAAAGCGUGGGUAUCGAACAGGAUUAGAUACCCGAGUAGUC
rnacentral:rRNA from 1 species